AUCGUUUCUAUUCAUGUUUGUUUUUGACUCCCUAGAGAAUCAGUAGUCCAGUUUGAUUCACAGCGUUUUUUUAAUCAAAGGAAUUACCGUCGAGGGCGUAUCAAAUCCCUCUUUCUUCCUCUACGGUAUUUCUUUGAUUAAAGAAAUUCUUUGGAUCAUCAAAUAUUUUUGUAGUAUAUUUAUAUUGUUCCAUAUUCUAUUCAGAUUAUGUCUUUCCCUGUUUUUUUUUUUGUUCUUGCAAUAAACUCAUUUGUACUUUGGAUAGCAACUGAGCUGAGGUAUUUUAAGGUGAAAGGAAAGAGUAGUGCUGCAUUUAAAUUCGUAUACUUUAUUUAAAGAAUAAAGUUGGAAUCAGUGGUAGUAGAUACCUCAUAAUUUUUUGUUCUAUUUUGCUCAUAUUAUAAAUGAAACAUAAUAAUAUACGACUAAAUGAUGUCUUAAAAAGAUUCAUGUUCGCAUGUGAGCUUAGCUCAGUGAUAUUGCACUAUAUGUGCAGGAGUUGGGUUGGAACUCUGGACACUCCAAAAAAAUCUAAGGUGAAAUUUCUGGUCACCGACCACAAGAAUCCUAUCUAUCCCCAAUGAGUGUUGGCCGCUAACACACCCCUCAUGCUUCAGCCUGGCCCAAUGGGCCUGAAAUGUGGACGAUGUAAGGAAGCCCAACGAUAAUAGACUCAUGAAUAUCGAGGUGUAACUCAUACUUACGAUACUGACUUGUAAGAUGAGGAUUGCCUCCUCUUUAUAAUGGCCACUAACAUGAAGAAAAAGAAAAAAAAGAUGACAUAUACAUUCCUUCACUGGUAUUUUUAGCAUUCAAAUGAUGUUCAAUAUUCAUAAUACUUGCUUAUGAAGGUGGAUGUUGCAAUUGAAAUGUGAAAUUAAAAUUGGUUUUUUCUCCCCUUCCUCUUUGUUUUCGUUUCCUCCUAUAAUGUUGUGUUGAAAUUAUCCUAGUCAUCGAUGCCAAGGACGACACAGCUUGGGGUUGAUUGAUGCUUCAGUGAAGUUCAUUUGUCUCUUCAGGAACUGUUGUUUUGGUUGCUGGUUGACUACGGGAAGAAGACGGUGAGGGAAUUACACUGUUCACAUUUGUUGGAAUCAAGCUCAAUUUUUUCAGUCUGUUUAUGAACUCGCCACUUGGGUUCAGGGAAUCCAUUUUCUGUUUCUCUAUAUUGAUGAUGAAAAAGCUAGUAGUAGUUGUUGAAUUUAGUGACUCAACUAAAACUUGUUUCUUCAUUUUAUUUGAUAAAAGAUGAAUGUUUGAUUGCAAUGAUCAAUUCAAGAUAGAAAAAUUGUCAGCCACCUGAAAAAUGAAUGUUAUGCUUUAUUUGCAGUUGAAUUGGAUGAAAAAGUUUGCUGCAUUAUUGUAUGUUUGUGUCUGAUGUAGGGUGUUGCAUAAAUGGCGAGGUUGUGGUAAUUCAUACAUAUCGAAGACAGUGGAAUUACAGCUGCGGAGAAUCAAAAUAUAGCAGUAAUAAUGUACUGAAAAAUGGAACCACUCUGCUGCUAUUGUUUCUGAGUUGGAGUGAAGUGAUACUGCUAAACCAUUUUUAAGGAUAGGGAUGUUAGUUUGCCCAAGAAUUAUUUCUGUGGUAUCAUGAAUUCUAUUUCAUAUAUCCGAGUGAUUAGGUUUUUGGUUACUGAGAGGAUAAUGUAAGAGGUGCUGGUGUCAAUGUAACGGCUCCCUGCUCGUAACGCGGUUAUAUUGUUGCAGGCCUCGGUUCUCAUUGUUAUGUGCCUGGUUUUUUGUUCUGGUGUUUUAAGUCCGGGUUCUGCGACUUUUGGGAUUAGGGGUUCUUGGUCUUGGUUGUGUUGGUAUUUUGUUUGGCCUUAGUUUUUUGUGUGCUGUAUCUGUCGAGCCUUGAUUUUAUUAUUUGACGUCUUUUGUAUAGUUUGUGUUGGUGUUCUGUUUCCUGCUAUGACAGGAGCUGUUGCUGUUUUCUUCUUUCCUCCUUGCCACUUCUUGUGCAUAGGAUGGAUAUAUUAAUAAAUAAAUUUAUUUA